rnacentral:rRNA from 1 species
UGGCCUUGACAUCCCGAUGAAUGAGGGGCAAUGCCCUCAGGGCUUCGGCCCAUCGGAGACAGGUGGUGCAUGGUUGUCGUCAGCUCGUGUCGUGAGAUGUUGGGUCAAGUCCCGCAACGAGCGCAACCCUUGCCCUUAGUAGCCAGCAAGAGAGAUGGGAACUCUAAGGGGACUGCCGGGGGUAACCCGGAGGAAGGCGGGGAUGACGUCAAAUCAUCAUGCCCCAUAUGGCCAGGGCGACACACGUGCUACAAUGGCGUCCACAGAGGGAGGCGAGGGGGCGACCCUAAGCGAAUCCCAAAAAAGGCGUCCCAGUUCGGAUCGCAGUCUGCAACCCGACUGCGUGAAGCUGGAAUCGCUAGUAAUCGCGGAUCAGAAUGCCGCGGUGAAUACGUUCCCGGGUC